rnacentral:tRNA from 1 species
ACUGCGAUAGCUCAGUUGGUAGAGCGCUUGACUGAUAAUCGAGAGGUUCCCUGGUUCAAACCCAGGUCGCAGUA